rnacentral:tRNA from 1 species
GGGGAUAUAGUUCAGGGGUAGAGCAUCUGACUACAGAUCAAGAGGUCCCUAGUUCAAAUCCAGGUGCCCCUU